rnacentral:lncRNA from 1 species
CCAAUGAGUGUCAAUGGCAUGACUUUUCCAAACUCCAACAGUCAUUUCCUCUUCUCUUCUUCCAUCUUUUAUGUUUCUGUUUUUUGUUCUUUUUUGUUAUUGUUCAAUGAAGAACAUUAAUAAACCAUCACCACCUUCUUUGAGUUUGAAAUGACCUUCGUACUCCUCUCCUUCACUAUUUCCUUCUUGUUCCUCACCGCCACUACAAUGGAUGUAAAAAGUCUGUUUGUGAUGUCUUUUUACGUAAUUUUAGAUAACCACUUGGAGCCAGAUGAGCCUACAAAACGGUAGUCAAAAUUAAGUAAACGUAACGAUGUAUAUGGAAACUGUUGAAAGUUGCAUCGUUCCUCAAAACCGUGAAGAAAGAUGAGUGUAUGAGUUAACAAGCCUCGGGGAGAAGAUAUACACUAGGAUGUAGUCGUUGUAUAUCUUCGACUUGAUUAGCUUGUUCGCAAUCAGGCACAGAAAACCAGACUGCAAUACCAAAAUAAUCCACAUCAGCAACAAACAAAACUCUUCGAACACCAAUGGACCAAGCUUGGGUUAGGUCGUCAAAAGCUCCCCAAAUCUCUGCUUCUUUCACAAUUCAACUUGCAAAUCCUAGCAUCCAUUGACCAUUUUGAUGCCUAAUAAAUUCCCUGAAGUCAUAAGAGCUUUAUUUGUAUUGACCUUAAACUAUCCCAUAGUCGGUGGAGGCUAGCUGACGAUGCUUCAAACUCUAUCAUCUUUACCUCAAAGAGCCUUGCAAACCUAGAAUGAAAAAAGUUACGCUACAGCAAAUUAAGCGCGUUUUUAGUGGCGUUUAGAGCGAAAACACUGCAAAAGUUAAACUUUUAAUGGUGUUUGUAUUAAAAAACGCCACAAAUAUAUAUAUCAUUAGUGGGGCUAAAAGAAACAUGCCGUAAUAAGUCGUUCUAUAAUGGCGUUUUUAGAAAUAGUGCCGCAAAAGGUAAAGAAGUAGCUGCGUUUUUCUCUAAAUACCUCUAAAAGUAUAACAACAAUACAAAAUUCCAUCCGACUCGACAUCUGAUCCGACCGAACUAAACGCAAAAUAAAGAAAGGAAAAUGGGAAAGAAAACGGCAAUUGACG